UCCAGGCAGUGCAGAGAGAGCAGGUGGUUUGGAGAGGGGAGCCAGAUUGCUGGUGUGGAGUUCUGUCCAGACCAGGAGCUGCUGCUAAACAGGAGAGCCUGCUGUGCUUUGAUCGCGUAGGGUGCUUCAGAGGCUGUUAGUUGUCCCUGAAGAAGAUGGUUGCUGUGCUUGGAGCCGACUGAGAAGGGCCUACAGGGAAGGAACUAAAUCUGAAAUGCUGGACUGUUCAAUUCAAAACCGGACACCUGGCAACCCUAGAGGUGAAUGAAGUUAACUAUAAAUUCUCACAAGCCUGGGCACAAUCCAUGAGAAAAUCCAUCAGCUGAAGACUGUUGUCUCAUUGAAGUAUCUUCCAAAUGCUAAGGUUUUUUAUGCAGUGUAGUUAUAGCUGUGUCCAGGCCCACAGCUGGGAAGGGCAAUGUACAUAACUGCCUAAGGGCCCGAUGAUUCACAACGGCCCAAGGCUCCCAGCUGCUGCCACUGCUACUGCGGCAGUGAUGGUGGCCAGAGCACUGCAGUUGGCACUGAAGAGUUGGCAGCAGGAGGCUAGCUUCUAGCCCUGCCCCACCUUGCCCAGGAGCCUGGCAAUUCCAUGUCAGAUCCAUGAUAUUAAAGAGACAAGGUAGAUGGGGUCAUAUCUUUCAGCGGACCAAAUUCUGUUGGUGAGAGACAAGCUUUGAGAGCCACACAGAGCUCUUCUAAGGUACUCCCAGUA